rnacentral:rRNA from 1 species
AUUGAACGCUGGCGGCAUGCCUUACACAUGCAAGUCGAACGGCAGCACGGGGCAACCUGGUGGCGAGUGGCGAACGGGUGAGUAAUGCAUCGGAACGUACCUUUCAGUGGGGGAUAACGUAGCGAAAGUUACGCUAAUACCGCAUAUUCUGUGAGUAGGAAAGCAGGGGAUCGCAAGACCUUGCGCUGAUUGAGCGGCCGAUGUCAGAUUAGCUAGUUGGUGAGGUAAAGGCUCACCAAGGCGACGAUCUGUAGCGGGUCUGAGAGGAUGAUCCGCCACACUGGAACGGGGACACGGUCCAGACUCCUACGGGAGGCAGCAGUGGGGAAUUUUGGACAAUGGGGGCAACCCUGAUCCAGCCAUGCCGCGUGAGUGAAGAAGGCCUUCGGGUUGUAAAGCUCUUUCGGCCGGGAAGAAAUCGCACGGGCUAAUACCCUGUGUGGAUGACGGUACCGGAAUAAGAAGCACCGGCUAACUACGUGCCAGCCGCAGCCGCCGUAA